rnacentral:pre_miRNA from 1 species
GAUUUCAACUAAAAAAGUUAUCAACAACAAAGUUGUAUAACUCAUCAAGACCUAUAACUUUUAUAUUUGUCAUUUCUUCAUCCGACAAAGUUCUAGUAAUACUGUUCAUAAAAUUGACAUAUCUGUGCUAUAGUUUAAAACCAGAUGAGAAAUAUGUAAAUUUCGUGAACAAUGUUACUAUCACUUUAUUAAAUGAAGAAAUGACCAAAAUAAAAGUUAUAGAUCUUGAUGAGUUAUACAUAUUUUUUGUUGAUGACUUUUUCAAUUGAAAUC